rnacentral:lncRNA from 1 species
GUGUUAGCCAGGAUGGUCUCGAUCUCCUGACCUUGUGAUGCGCCCACCUCGGCCUCCCAAAAUGCUGGGAUUACAGGCAUGAGCGACCCGGCCCGGCCCUCUGGGCUGCAGGAUUUUUGAUUCAGUAGGUCUGAGGCGGCCCAAGAAUGUAUUUUCUAACGAUUUCCCAAGCUAGGGUGAUGCUGCUGUUCUAGACUACAAAGCAGUAAAGGUAAGAAAGUAAGAAUUCCAGAAAAGCAGGGACAGACGCAGACAGGAAGAGAAAGCCUUUGAGGACAUUGAAUUUUACAGCUGAAUGGGACGUUAGCAUUAGGAGUCUCUAACUGUAACCCUCCUCAAUUAGCAAGUUAUAAAACAGAAGCCCUUGGGAGUUACCUGACUUUCUCAGAGUCACUUAGUGGCCUAGUCCAAAACAGGAGCAGGUAAAAAGUUUGGCUGCUUUUGCUAUGACUCUCAGAACCAAACACAUAUUGAGAAAUUUGAUCAUUGGUAUGCUGGUUGUACUCUGUGGAUGUUUUCCCCUGUAGAAAACUUUAGGACAAUGCCCAAAAAGGGAGGAAAAAGAGUCUAAUUCUUGGAAGUGCACAUCCGUGUGGACAGGUGAAUUAUAUUAAUAUAUAUAAAUAUAUUACCCGUGUCCCUCCACCUGUAAGAGGCGUGCUUCAGAGACAGAAUUUUGGAGGGAGGUAGAAGAACGUGGAAUACCAAAGAGAGAGAUGAAUAGACAUAAGAGAAGAUGGUGUUCUUCAGGGGUACAUCAUGUCCUUUCUUUGAGAUUCCUGGGCAGUUUAUGUGACUACUAGGUUGCCAUCAAGGAAGUCAACCAUGUCUAGAGAAGAGCUCCUUCAUGUGUCCGAGUCUUCAGAGCCAAGAAAUAGAGAGCUUAUGUAAUGCAGUUGACAGCAAGUUACAAGACUGUCAGAAAGUCGUGAUCCAGAGAUGACCUUGAAGGAGGAAAAGAAAGCUUUAAGACCUUAAGAAGCCUUAAAGGAGGGAAAGCAGACAAAAGGUUGAGAAUUUGGCAAAAUAUGCCAAUAAACUUUAAUGCUGUUAUUUGUGUUUUCAUAGUAAUCAAAUAUUUUAAUAAAAUGUUUGUACUGGGUGUGUUUACAGGAUAUACUUCAUGAAGAAAAUAAGACCGAAUGUUUCAAUACAACAGAUUUCUCUCCUGAAGUGGGAAAUCCAUAAAAAGUGUCAUGUUAGCCUCAGGGUAGGAACCAUGUUUUGUUCAUUAUUAAAUCUCUGGCACCUGCACAUAGUAGUUGGUCCAUACUUUUGGAUUAAAAUAAAGUUCCUUUAGAAAACUUCAGCAUACUUUAUCCCUAAGGAAGAAAAUAAGGAAAGUGGUGUCGUCGUUUUUGAAAAAAAAAAAAAAAA